rnacentral:rRNA from 1 species
GACGUAGGAUGCGAGCGUUGUCCGGAAUUAUUGGGCGUAAAGGGAGCGUAGGCGGUUUCAUCAGUUUGGGCUUAAAGACUGGGGCUCAACCCCAGGAGUGGCUUGAAUACUGUGAGGCUAGAGGACGGCAGAGGAAAGUGGAAUUCCCAGUGUAGCGGUGAAAUGCGUAGAUAUUGGGAGGAACACCAGUGGCGAAAGCGACUUUCUGGGCCGUACCUGACGCUGAGGCUCGAAAGCUCGGGGAGCAAACAGG